CUAGCUACAGGCUUAACACAUGCAAGUCGAGGGGCAGCAUGGUCUUAGCUUGCUAAGGCCGAUGGCGACCGGCGCACGGGUGAGUAACACGUAUCCAACCUGCCGUCUACUCUUGGACAGCCUUCUGAAAGGAAGAUUAAUACAAGAUGGCAUCAUGAGUCCGCAUGUUCACAUGAUUAAAGGUAUUCCGGUAGACGAUGGGGAUGCGUUCCAUUAGAUAGUAGGCGGGGUAACGGCCCACCUAGUCUUCGAUGGAUAGGGGUUCUGAGAGGAAGGUCCCCCACAUUGGAACUGAGACACGGUCCAAACUCCUACGGGAGGCAGCAGUGAGGAAUAUUGGUCAAUGGGCGAGAGCCUGAACCAGCCAAGUAGCGUGAAGGAUGACUGCCCUAUGGGUUGUAAACUUCUUUUAUAAAGGAAUAAAGUCGGGUAUGUAUACCCGUUUGCAUGUACUUUAUGAAUAAGGAUCGGCUAACUCCGUGCCAGCAGCCGCGGUAAUACGGAGGAUCCGAGCGUUAUCCGGAUUUAUUGGGUUUAAAGGGAGCGUAGAUGGAUGUUUAAGUCAGUUGUGAAAGUUUGCGGCUCAACCGUAAAAUUGCAGUUGAUACUGGAUAUCUUGAGUGCAGUUGAGGCAGGCGGAAUUCGUGGUGUAGCGGUGAAAUGCUUAGAUAUCACGAAGAACUCCGAUUGCGAAGGCAGCCUGCUAAGCUGCAACUGACAUUGAGGCUCGAAAGUGUGGGUAUCAAACAGGAUUAGAUACCCUGGUAGUCCACACGGUAAACGAUGAAUACUCGCUGUUUGCGAUAUACAGUAAGCGGCCAAGCG
rnacentral:rRNA from 1 species